CUGAUGUUUUAGGAAACAUUGUUCAGAGGUGAACUGAUGUGUUUUUCACCACUUUGCAGAGGAGGAACUGGACUCCUCAGGCCAUCUUAUACCUCAAAGGAGCACAGGGACAUCGCUCAGUGUUGGAGCGCACCAGCAGACAAGAAGGAGAUACUUUACACUUAGAGAGUCACAAGCAGAGCAGUGAUGGACGACUUGGACUGUCUUUGUCAUCCAUUCUUCUGGAUCUUCUGCAGCAAGCAGUGGAAGAAGGUGGGGGAAAUUCAGAUAACUACCCAGCAGAACGAGAUCUGAAUCUGAACUACUUUUGAAGAGUUCACCACCAGUUUUUUUGUUGCUCUUUCUUGUAUUUAAUAUGCUUUUCUCUGCUUGUCACUUGUUGCUCUUUGUUUUCUUGUGAUUAAUCCUGCUAUAUAAAUAAAACUUCCUCGUCUCAU